GACGAACGCUGGCGGCGUGCUUAACACAUGCAAGUCGAACGGAAAGGCCCUGCUUUUGUGGGGUGCUCGAGUGGCGAACGGGUGAGUAACACGUGAGUAACCUGCCCUUGACUUUGGGAUAACUUCAGGAAACUGGGGCUAAUACCGGAUAGGAGCUCCUGCUGCAUGGUGGGGGUUGGAAAGUUUCGGCGGUUGGGGAUGGACUCGCGGCUUAUCAGCUUGUUGGUGGGGUAGUGGCUUACCAAGGCUUUGACGGGUAGCCGGCCUGAGAGGGUGACCGGCCACAGUGGGACUGAGAUACGGCCCAGACUCCUACGGGAGGCAGCAGUGGGGAAUAGUGCACAAUGGGCGGAAGCCGGAUGCAGCAACGCCGCGUGCGGGAUGACGGCCUUCGGGUUGUAAACCGCUUUCGCCUGUGACGAAGCGUGAGUGACGGUAAUGGGUAAAGAAGCACCGGCUAACUACGUG
rnacentral:rRNA from 1 species